GGUUUAAUUACCCAAGUUUGAGGUAAUUGAAUGUUUCGGCCCAUAGCUUCAGCUACUGUGGCUUGAAAUAAAAUUUUGGAACGUUCUGCAAAUCUGCUGGGACAAC
rnacentral:sRNA from 1 species